ensembl:lncRNA
GAGGAAAACUUAACAAUAUUAAACAAUUGUUUUUCAGUUGCUCAGUCGUAUCUGACUCUUUGUGACCCCGUGGACUGCAGCACUCCAGGCUUCCCUGUCCUUCACCAUCUCCUGGAGCUUGCUCAAACUCAAGUCCAUUGAGUUGGCGAUGCCAUCCAACCAUCUCAUCCUCUAUCGGCCCCUUCUCCUCCUGCCUUUGUAUAUAUCCCUUCCAUAGCGAGGUCAAGGGGACGAGGAUGGGAUGUCUCAGCCAAUGGACUAAGGUAACAUCAAAUGGCUUUUAAGGCUAGAUCCAAAAAGACCAUUCGGCUUUUGCCUUGUCCACUAGAACACUCUUUCCUGAAGCCCUGAGCCACCACUGAAAAAGUCUGACGAUCCUGAGGCUACCAUACUGUGAGGAAACCUAAGCCACAAGAAGAGACCAUGUCAUCAGCAUUCCAGUUAACAGGCCCAACUAAACCCAACCUUCAAGCAUUCCCAGGCCAGCCACCAGACAUAUUUGUGGAGGAGGGAAUGUUGGAUGUGCACCUUGAGAAGGGGAACUGAUACCAGCCUUCAAGAUGUGAGGCCUCUCUUCCUCCUCGAUGUCAAAAACUAUCCAGGGCCCUGACCUAUCUUUUUAAUAAAAGUGCGUACAUGGCUGUCCCUGCCUUCUUUCGGAGCAAGUUCUUGUAUCCACUGUUUGCACAUGGAAGCAAGGCUGAAAGGC